ACCGGGUGCAGUGGCACGUGCCUGUAGUCCCAGCUACUUGGGAGGCUGAGGUGGUAGCUUCGCUUGAGCCCAGGAGUUCUGGGCUGUAGUGCACUAUGCUGAUCGGGUGUCCGCACUAAGUUUGGCAUCAAUAUGGUGACCUCUCGGGAGCUGGGGACCACCAGGUUGCCUAAGGAGGGGUGAACCGGCCCAGGUCGGAAACGGAGCAGGUCAAAACUCCAGUGCUGAUCAGUAAUGGGAUCACACCUGUGAAUAGCCACUGUACUCCAGCCUGGGCAACAUGGCGAGACCCUGUCUCAA
rnacentral:SRP_RNA from 1 species